AUCCAUAGUUCCAAUCGGAGGACUCCGCAAAUGUGACUGGCUGCCUGACGCAAACUCUCACUGCACCGAGGAAAUGUCCCAGAGCUUUUGUGUGCCAAGCUGUGACGGCUCAUCUAUCACUGAGGCCGCAAAUACACAUUACACUCCCAUUACAGACCAUCACAGCAACAACCGCAACAGUACACAGUCCGGAGGAAAGGCCCACUGCGAGGAGCUGCAUUUACACACGUCCACCAUUUCGCGCAAAAGGAAGUGGAGGCUUCUGCAAAUGCUGCUCUGGAGGUACUUCAAACAGAAACGAGACACGCAGUACGUUACCACAGUCCUCCCGUGGAUUUCACUUACCCCCUCGGCACGUCUUCUGUGAAGUCGAUGCGGGCAUUCGGGCCUCCUCCUCUUCCUCCCCCAAGGACUGUGUCUAUCAAACUAUCACUGGAAUGUCGAACCAGGCCCCUGAAGCCCACACGUACAGCCACACUCAGCAGCACUCAGCACAUGUCUCCGACUGCCAGCACAGGGAAAGAGACGUGGUCAAUCACACCGGACAGCAGAGGAGAGAGGAAAGAGCGCUGGAGAGUGGGAGGCGGACAAGCAUUUCAUCAGCAGAAAAAAAACAUGUAAUGUGCAAAACACAUCACGUGAUGGCUAAAGCACUUCAUUUGUUGGCAGAAAUUCAUUAUCAUUGUAUUGAAUAUGAAACCUCCGCAUGUUAUCCUGAAACCAAUAGGUCAAGACCAGUUGCAGCCUCUGUCUCCUGCCAAAGUUAUUGCGUUUUUCAAAUACAAGACCACAUAUUUCAAAGAUUCUGCACGUUGCUUCAUGUCGCAAGCAUGACACUGCAUACUCGGAGGUUUACUCAAAAAAAAAAGUCAUUUGAAGAACUCAAUUUAUUUGUGAGCUGGAAUUCCAUCCGUAGACCUGACUCAAAAACAUUCAUGAAAUAGAAUUAAAUUGAUUUAGUCCAACUCAUUUUGAUGAAAUUCAUCUCAAAUGACUAGAUACCAUUAAUCAAAUAUAACAAAAUGUUGUUCAUUAAACUCAAUCUAAACUCAAAAAGUAAGUCAUUGGAUGAACUCAAUUUAUUUGUGUGCAGGAUUUCCAUCUAAUAAAUAUGUGUAGCCUCAAUCUAAGAACAUCCAUGCAAUUUUAAUAAAAUCCUUCUAAAACAAUUAUUUUACUUAACAUUUUUUAUUUGAUCCCCUAUUAAGACACAUGAAACAUAAUGUAGUUCAAGCGUUUUUAUUGCAAAUGCUCAGAGAAGUCAGAACUGACCAGCCAAUACAAUACAAAAUACAAAAUAAACCAUCUGAUCAGGAAAUUAAUUAACAAAAGUCCAAAAAUUAUCAAGUGCAUUGUGUAUUUCCAUUAAUAACAAUGUAAGUUAAUAUCAACUAGCCUGUACUAUACUGUACUCGGUCCUCAGUACGAGUGUUAGUGUUAGUUUUAAUUGGUUUAGUCAUAAAACGCAGGUAAGUGAUGCAAUAGCUUCCCGGCUAAGCUAAUAUAAUAUGAGCUAAGACCACUUGUUACCUUGGUUACGAUAACCACUUUCAGGCGGCGCCCCGAAGGAAUGCAACUUGUAAAUAUUGAUGCAUUGUAACGUUGAGAGACAGUAAUACAGGAUAAUUUAUAUUAUAGAUUUAUAUUUAUAUGUAUGUAGCCUAUAUAUAUUUUUCUUUUUUUAGUUUUUUUUUAUUGUAUUUGUCUAAUUUAACAUUUUUUUUCAUAAAGCUCCAACCAAAUCUAAUAUUUUGUUUCUUUGACUCUUCAUUGUUCGAUUGUUAAGUAUUUGAAUGUGAUUUAUACGUUAUAACCUACACAAUUGAUAUUCAUUUUGCAAAGUCAAGGCAGCUGUCAUGAAGUCGAGGCGAAUGCCUUGUGAAAUCGUGACGUCACCGCAACCUGCAACAGGAAGUGCCUCAGCGGGUUGCCAGUGCCACGACUUGUGCUAGCUCCUACUGCUGCUUUAGCUAACGCUAGUCAACGUUAGCUAGCGUCAGCUAACACAAGUUAUCGUUAGCUAGCGUUAGAUAACACAAGUUAACGUUAGCUAAAGCAGCCCAUGUUGGUCCUGCUCUGAAGCCGUGUUAACUGACAGGGAGCGACGCUGGCAGGGACUGACUCCCCUCGUGGCUUUGAAGAUGACAGACUGACUUUCUGACCUCUGGUCAUGAUGCUAAACACGCUCAGCUAACUAGCUUGAAUGCUGCCAAAUUGGACUUUAGUAAAAUGGAGCAGAAUUUCCCUGGUUUAACUUAAAUUAAGAACGUUUCACAACGUGUGUGCAAGCGGUAUUUAACAACGUAACAAAAAACAGUUAACGUUACUUACCAAAUAACGGAUUUCCACCCAAGCCAGAAAAAAAUGAUGUUGCAGCCAAUUUCAGUCUGCGAAAAAGGCAGAACGGCGCUAAACGCGAAAAAUGUGGCACAUGCGCAAAGGGUAGUCCUCAUUAAUGAAUUUAUUUAAGUUCACACAUACACGUUUUAACCUAAAUCAAUCUCAUAAGUGAAACUAUUAAACCAUUUCAUGUUGCU
ensembl:lncRNA